CCAACAGGGAUUGCCCUAGUAACGGCGAGUGAAGCGGCAACAGCUCAAAUUUGAAAUCUGGCUCCUUUGGGGUCCGAGUUGUAAUUUGCAGAGGGUGCUUUGGCAUCGGCGGCGGUCUAAGUUCCUUGGAACAGGACAUCGCAGAGGGUGAGAAUCCCGUACGUGGGCGCCUGCCUUUGCCGUGUAAAGCCCCUUCGACGAGUCGAGUUGUUUGGGAAUGCAGCUCUAAAUGGGAGGUAAAUUUCUUCUAAAGCUAAAUACCGGCCAGAGACCGAUAGCGCACAAGUAGAGUGAUCGAAAGAUGAAAAGUACUUUGGAAAGAGAGUCAAAUAGCACGUGAAAUUGUUGAAAGGGAAGCGCUUGCAGCCAGACUUGCCCGCAGUUGCUCACCCAGGCUCCGGCCUGGGGCACUCUUCUGCGGGCAGGCCAGCAUCAGUUUGGGCGGUUGGAUAAAGGCCUCUGUCACGUAUCUCCCUUCGGGGUGACCUUAUAGGGGAGGCGCAAUGCAACCAGCCCGGACUGAGGUCCGCGCAUCUGCUAGGAUGCUGGCGUAAUGGCUGUAAGCGGCCCGUCUUGAAACACGGACCAAGGAGUCUAACAUCUAUGCGAGUGUUUGGGUGUCAAGCCCGGGCGCGUAAUGAAAGUGAACGGAGGUGGGAACCCUUUGGGUGCACCAUCGACCGAUCCUGAUGUCUUCGGAUGGAUUUGAGUAAGAGCAUAGCUGUUGGGACCCGAAAGAUGGUGAACUAUGCUUGAAUAGGGUGAAGCCAGAGGAAACUCUGGUGGAGGCUCGCAGCGGUUCUGACGUGCAAAUCGAUCGUCAAAUUUGGGCAUAGGGGCGAAAGACUAAUCGAACCAUCUAGUAGCUGGUUC
rnacentral:rRNA from 1 species